GCGCCUAUACUAAAAUUGGAAAGAUACCGUGGAUAUUAGCAUGAGCCUGCCCAAGUAGGACUUGCAAAUUUGUGAAGCACUCUAUAAUAAA
ensembl:snRNA U6 U6 spliceosomal RNA